GCCCCUGUGGCGCAGUAGUAGCGCGUCUGCCUCGUAAGCAGAAGGUCGGGAGUGCGAAUCUCCCCGGGGGCA
rnacentral:tRNA from 1 species